GUGCAGCAGGCGAGAAUUUUUGACAAUGGGGAAACCCUGAUCGAGCGACGCCGCGUGGAGGAUGAAGGUCUUCGGAUUGUAAACUCCUGUCAUUGGGGAACAAGGUGCAUACGUUAACUGCGCGUGUAUUGAUAGUACCCGAAGAGGAAGGGACGGCUAACUCUGUGCCAGCAGCCGCGGUAAUACAGAGGUCCCAAGCGUUGUUCGGAUUCAUUGGGCGUAAAGGGUGCGUAGGCGGCGCGGUAAGUCGGGUGUGAAAUCUCGGAGCUUAACUCCGAAACCUGCAUUCGAUACUGCCGUGCUUGAGGACUGGAGAGGAGACUGGAAUUUACGGUGUAGCGGUGAAAUGCGUAGAUAUCGUAAGGAAGACCAGUGGCGAAGGCGGGUCUCUGGACAGUUCCUGACGCUGAGGCACGAAGGCCAGGGAGCAAACGGGAUUAGAUA
rnacentral:rRNA from 1 species